rnacentral:rRNA from 1 species
CCUACGGGUGGCUGCAGUGGGGAAUAUUGGACAAUGGGCGAAAGCCUGAUCCAGCCAUGCCGCGUGUGUGAAGAAGGCCUUCGGGUUGUAAAGCACUUUCAGUGGGGAAGAAAGCCUUGGGGCUAAUACCCUCGAGGAAGGACAUCACCCACAGAAGAAGCACCGGCUAACUCCGUGCCAGCAGCCGCGGUAAUACGGAGGGUGCGAGCGUUAAUCGGAAUUACUGGGCGUAAAGCGCGCGUAGGCGGUCUGAUAAGCCGGUUGUGAAAGCCCCGGGCUCAACCUGGGAACGGCAUCCGGAACUGUCAGGCUAGAGUGCAGGAGAGGAAGGUAGAAUUCCCGGUGUAGCGGUGAAAUGCGUAGAGAUCGGGAGGAAUACCAGUGGCGAAGGCGGCCUUCUGGACUGACACUGACGCUGAGGUGCGAAAGCGUGGGUAGCAAACAGGAUUUGAUACCCCGGUAGUC